GGCCACCGGAGGGCGGGGCCUGCACGACGCUCCGCCCCCUCAGGCCAGCGCGGGGAACAAGUUGCGGAGCAGCAAGACUCGCCCCCAACUCCGGAGCGAAGCAAUGCGCGCGAGGCGCCGAGGCUGGGCUCCGCCCCCUGCGCGCUUUGCGGAGACAAAGGGAUGCCUUGGCUGGGGUAACACAAGGCAAAGCAGCACUGGGGCCCAUGGUGCUUACUCGCAGGUUGGCAGGAGCAAGGACCGAGCAACAGGAGCUCACCCCGUCGCGGGUAUUCGAACCGCCAACCUUCUGAUCGGCAAGCCCUAGGCUCUGUGGUUUAACCCACAGCGCCACACGCGUGGCACCUUUUAAUUGGUUUCUGAGCCCUGGCCUAGAGGAAGCUCCAUGCCUGAGGCACUGCAAGUACCAGGAAACAGGUAAUGCCCAUUAUCAUCCAUCAAGGUUAAUGUUCUCCCUUCAAACAGGACCCUUUAUUACACCCCACACAGUUCUGCACUUGUCAUCCAUGGUAGGCCUCUACUGUUUUAAAUGCUCUCGUCCUUGUUUAUCCAUUAUUUAUCCUUAUUUAUUGGUUUUGUUUUAGAUGCUUUUAUACUGUAGUUUUAUUAGCUUUAGGCUGAAUUUUUUGUUUUAAUGAUAAUGGAUGUUUUUAAUAUUGUACACUGCUUAGAGAUUUUUAAAUAUUAAGCAAAUUACAGGUGCUUUAAAUUAAAUAAAUAUCUAGGGAAAUUGCUCCCUCUCAUAACCAAAUUCUAAAAGGAUCAAAAACUAAAAGCAGUGUUCAGGCCAUGCUCAUUCAGUCAAGUUAGUUAGCUCUGCUCACCCUUCCUACCUUGUUCCCUGGUUCUUUAUUAUUUUGUACUCCUCAUCAGGGUUCCAAGGGAAACUGCAACCUUGAAUUAUUCUUCUAUGCCUUCACCCAAAAAGGCUUGCCCCCCUGUUACUCUACUGCAGACUGGUCAAGGAUCUACAGGACAGCAUCCUCCCUCAAGUGCUGAUAAGUCAGGGGUAGCCAAUGCGGUGCUCUCCAAAUGUUAUUGGACUCCAUCUCCCAUCAGCUCCAGUCUACAUGUCCGAUGGUCAAGGCUGAUGGGAGAUGGAGUCAAACUAUAUCUGGACGACAACAUAUUGACUACCCUGGGAAUUGAUAACAACCAUGUUCCGGGUUCUUUUCCCUCUUUAAUUUUCUGAUUUUUCCGUCCUUUCUGCUCUCCAAGCAAACCAGUAACCUAUGCUACUUUAGGCACCUGAAUUUAAUCUCUAACCCCAGUUUGAUCCUGCACAUACAGCUGGUGCCUAUUGCCCUCCAUCUUUCUCCAGUCUUCUCAUAGCCCAUUGCCCCUUCUCACUCUGUACGUCUGUUAUUAUUGUAAUUAUUUUACCAUUAGGCUGUCUGUUGGUAUACUUUUUACUAUGUUUUUUCCAUUGAUGUUUUGUAAUAUGUUUCUAGUGUUGAACGCUGCCCUAAGGUAUUUUGGUAAAGGGCUGUAGAUAAAUUGAAUAAAUUAUUAUUAUUAUUAUUUUAUUAUUAUUAUUAAUAAUAAUAAUUAAUAAUAAUGUCCUGAUCCCCUCUGUCCUUCGUACCACUUACCCACAUAGUUGGUGCUAGACCAAUCUGAAUAUCUGGGGUUGCCAACAUGGUCCUUGUGUGUACAAUGACACUUUUGAGGUGCCCAUGAAGCCUCAAAGCUCACCUUCCUUGAAAUACUGAGGAGGGGUACCUAUUUUCCACACUGAGAAGUAUGUGGAGCUAAAGGAGUUAAGCUGGAAGAGUGACCCUUUUUCCCAUCUCCUCUACAUAUUUUUCAAGGCUCAGAUCAAUAGCUGAACAGAAAGUGGAGCAACUGAGAGGGUAGGAGGGAAAGGGGGGAAGACAGGAUAAAAGGGAGUGAACUGCAAUAUUUGAGGGGAGGGAGGGAAAUAGAGUGUCCAGGGCAGGAAUCAGGAGAAAUACAGAGUGCCAUAGAGCAAAUGUACAUGAGCUCAAACACAUUGGACUCAAUAAAACGGCUCCUCUUGGAAUGGCAUAUCAUUCUUGCUCCUACCAAACACUACCAAAUCAUAGAUCACAUCUGUCUCCAUUGACAUGAGUCAUAGACACCAUAGGUCAGCUGCUUUCCAAAACACGAAUUCAAGGGCUUAUCAUUUUUAAAAGGGACUCCUUCAAAGCCACUAUCAAAUCAUAGGUCACCUCUGUGUCCACAGAAGUGUCAGUGAUUUGUUGUUGCCUUUGUUGUCCUCCUGUGUAAAAUCCAUGAGGAUCCACGCUUUGGCUUGGGUCAAAGUUUCUGUGGUGCUGGCAAGUACCAAAUCUUUUACUCAGCAGUCUACUUACUGUUAAGCUUUAAUUUUGAUGGUGCGGGAGAGGGGGGAUACUGUCUAAAAUAAUGCACAUUUAAUUCUAUUGGAUCCAACUCUUACCCAGAUGCCAUGGAAAAGCACAGUGGGGGGGGACCACCAGAGGGAUAGUGUCAGAGGCACUCUCAAAAUUCUAGAUGUGCGCACAAGACCAAAAAGGUUAGCAACCCUGCAAUUAAUUGACCUUUCUGUUUCUGUAAUAAUAAAGUAUAUUUGAUUAUUCUG